AUUGAACGCUGGCGGCAGGCCUAACACAUGCAAGUCGAACGAGUGGCGGACGGGUGAGUAAUGUCUGGGAAACUGCCUGAUGGAGGGGGAUAACUACUGGAAACGGUAGCUAAUACCGCAUACCAUCAGAUGUGCCCAGAUGGGAUUAGCUAGUUGGUGGGGUAACGGCUCACCAAGGCGACGAUCCCUAGCUGGUCUGAGAGGAUGACAGGCAACACUGGAACUGGGAAACGGUCCAGACUCCUAGGGGGGGCAGCGGUGGGGAAUAUUGAACAAGGGGGGCAAGCCUGAUGCAGCCUUGCCGGUGGUAUGAAGAAGGCCUUGGGGUUGUAAAGUACUUUCAGCGGGGAGGCGUUACCCGCAGAAGAAGCACCGGCUAACUCCGUGCCAGCAGCCGCGGUAAUA
rnacentral:rRNA from 1 species